UUAACAAAAAUGGAUAAAUUGGUAUCUAACUGUAUAAAGGCAGGCGCGGAUCUAUGAAUAGGAGAUGUUGUGCGGGUAUCUACAGGACCAAAAUUGUCAACAGGUUCUCCAAGAACAUUGAAAAUUCGUCCAAGAGUCGCUCCACCAACUGGAA